rnacentral:lncRNA from 1 species
GAAGCCACCGAAAGGAGACUCAUGCAGGUGAAUCCCUGGGUGAUGCUCUUCUGUCUGGACAUCUGGUAGCUGCUGAAAACAAUAGCUAUCAACUCAAAGAGUUUUAUCCAAAACAACUGAUGUAGAAGCUGCAGUUUGCCUCCACCUCUGAAGAAGCACAAUACACCUUUCUGGGUUACCAAUGGGAUACUUCCCAACAGCUUUGUCAUCACAUACAAUAUUCUCAAACAAGAUCUUAAUGGCAUCUACUUUCUCCAGGAACACAGCCCCUGACCUGUGUGUGUUUGCGUAGAGAAGGCAUGCUAUGUACCCCCUAGGAUAUUUUUUAUAGCAGAAUGGAGAAACACAACCAAGGAGAUACACCUAAGUAACAACAGCAAUGAUGUCAAAAAGAGUGCCUGAAUACUUAGGGUGGAGGUCCUGGACAUGCAAACCCAAGCUUCCUCUUUGCUGUGGCCAGGAAUCUGCAGUGAUUGAGAGCACAGACUGUAUCUAAAAUUCCACCUUUCAAAGUUCAGCAUAUUACUUUUUUUUUUCUUACACCUAUAAGUACAGAGGAAUGAAGAAGGAAUAAACAGACCUUCUGGAUAAUUGCAUCAGCCUUCCCCACUAUUCCAAUGCCAUGCUAACAUUUCAAGUAAUGUCCCUUUUGUCUUGCUGAGAAAAAAUCAUUUCAUGAUUUAUUACACUGGAUUAAAGGCUAUGCACACUCUGGAGUUGGAACAUGACUGAAGGGCAAGCAAGCAUAAAGGAUAUCAGAAACAGUUGAUGUGUUUAAAUUUUUCUGAAUUUCUCAAGUAAACUUUUUAGAAAGUAGUCUGAAGAUAAAAUGGUUAUAUAAGUUACUUAAACUGUAGAUGAUGGCACCUUUAUCCCUAUAUAAUAAAAUUAAGAUUUACAAUCCAAAGCAGAGUGGGAGGAAGAGACCUACAAGACCAUGUUUCAUUGGAUAGCUUUGGAGUAAUAUCUAUAAUUUUAGAAAAAAGUUAAGAGGAAGAAGAAACUGGUGUCAGCUACACUUAGAAGAUUUUACAACAGAGACUGGCUUCCAUUCACUGAUCAGACAUUCACUGAUUUUUAAUUCUUACCACCAGAGAAAAAGUUGUUAUGAUGAGGGUCCUCAGGAAAGACAAUACAGUCAGCCGAGAAAUACAAUUUUCUUUGUCUACUGUUGUUUCCUUUACACGGACCAUUGAAAUAUAUACUUAACCACCAGCAAAACUCCUAUUAAACACAAGUAAAAAAAAAUCACUACAUGCAAAAGAGUGAACACCAGGCAAAGUGAUAAUUUAUGAAUUUCCAGGAUUUUUGUUGUAAUUUACCCGUGUAAGUUUACAAUAAAUGAUUGAUGUAACUAAA